rnacentral:rRNA from 1 species
AACGGCCAUACCAUGCUGAAUAUACCGGUUCUCGUUAGAUCACCGAAGUCAAGCAUCAUUGGGCGUGGUCAGUACUUGGGUGGGUGACCACCUGGGAACACCACGUGCCGUU